AGCCACGAGAACCAGGAGAUCUACCAGAAGGCCUUCGACCUCAUUGAGCACUACUUUGGUGUAGAAGACGAUGAUAGCAGCCUGGCUCCCCAAGUCGAUGAAACGCAACAGCAGUUCAUCUUCCAGCAGCCUGAGGCCCCCAUGGAGGGCUUCCAGCUAUAAUAUCUGCCUCCAGGGAGGGGAGGGGAUGGGAAGCACCACCAGCCAGCGGAAGAGCAGCCCUCUGGUGGGCGGGAAACCAGUGUCCCCACCAUCAGCCACCACACACCUCUGCUGCCCUGGAGACUGUGCUCUUGACCUGCUCCGCCCCCUUCCCUGGAGGGAGCACCCUCUGGACAGACAGAACCAUCUGAGGCUCACCUUUGGGUUUUGUGACAAGAAGGGGACGUGUUGGGUUUUUCUUCCUUACACUAUAUUUUGGCUGCACACAUGUCUUUAACCCAGGAGCCCAGGGGUAGACAAAGGAGGACUAAGGGCCCCUGGGUAGACAGACACAGCUUGAUUUCAGAGCAGACAUAGGCGAAGAAAACAUGGCAUUGAGUGUGCUGAGUCCAGACAAAUGUUAUUUAUAUACACAUCCAAAUUUGAAGAGAAAAUGUAUUUCUUUAGGUUUCAAACACUGUAAUAGAUAUAAAGCAAAAAUAAAAACCUGUUGCAAAGUUCUAAA
ensembl:lncRNA novel transcript